UACGAAGGGGGCUAGCGUUGUUCGGAUUUACUGGGCGUAAAGCGCACGUAGGCGGGUUGUUAAGUCAGGGGUGAAAUCCUGGAGCUCAACUCCAGAACUGCCUUUGAUACUGGCAACCUAGAGGCUGGAAGAGGUUAGUGGAAUUCCCAGUGUAGAGGUGAAAUUCGUAGAUAUUGGGAAGAACACCAGUGGCGAAGGCGGCUAACUGGUCCAGAUCUGACGCUGAGGUGCGAAAGCGUGGGGAGCAAACAGGG
rnacentral:rRNA from 1 species